CAGCCGCCGCGGGAAUACGAAGGGGGCUAGCGUUGUUCGGAUUUACUGGGCGUAAAGGGCGCGUAGGCGGGCUGAUAAGUCAGGGGUGAAAUCCCAAGGCUCAACCUUGGAACUGCCUUUGAUACUGUUUGUCUUGAGUUCGAGAGAGGUAAGUGGAACUGCGAGUGUAGAGGUGAAAUUCGUAGAUAUUCGCAAGAACACCAGUGGCGAAGGCGGCUUACUGGCUCGAAACUGACGCUGAGGCGCGAAAGCGUGGGGAGCAAACAGGAUUAGAUACCCCGGUAGUCCCUGUCUCUUAUAC
rnacentral:rRNA from 1 species